rnacentral:sRNA from 1 species
AGCUGCUCGCGGGAGCCGCCUCCCGACACCCGAGCCCCGCCGGCGCCUCGCGCUCCCGGCUCCCGGCUCCCUCCGCCUACCCCGCCCCUCGCCCCGCCGCCGAAGAGGCCCCGCUCCCGGGUCGGACGCCUGGGUCUGCCGGGAAGAGCGAUGAGAGGUGUCUGAAGGUGGCUAUUCACUGAGCGAUGGGGUUGGACUUGAAGGAAUGCCAAGAGAUGCUGCCCCCACCCCCUUAGGCCCGAGGGAUCAGGAGCUAUGGGGCCAGAGGCCCUGUCAUCUUUACUGCUGCUGCUCUUGGUGGCAAGUGGAGAUGCUGACAUGAAGGGACAUUUUGAUCCUGGUGAGGAGACUGAAUCAUGGGUCCCUGAGGGCCAAGGCUUGGGAGGUAGAGAGUUGGGGGCCUUGACUUGUUACAUGCCUGCUUUUUACUCAGCCAAGUGCCGCUAUGCCCUGGGCAUGCAGGACCGGACCAUCCCAGACAGUGACAUCUCUGCUUCCAGCUCCUGGUCAGAUUCCACUGCCGCCCGCCACAGCAGGUUGGA